rnacentral:rRNA from 1 species
UCGCCGAGACGUUUCAGCUUGCUGAAACUAGUAAAGUGGCGCACGGGUGAGUAACGCGUGGGUAAUCUACCUCCGAAUUGGGGAUAACAUUGCGAAAGCGAUGCUAAUACCGAAUAAUAUCUCAAUAACUCCGGUCUUUGAGAUCAAAGAUGGCCUCUCCAUGGAAGCUACUGUUUGGAGAUGAGCCCGCGUACCAUUAGCUUGUUGGUAGGGUAAUGGCCUACCAAGGCUACGAUGGUUAGCUGGUCUGAGAGGAUGAUCAGCCACACUGGAACUGACACACGGUCCAGACUCCUACGGGAGGCAGCAGUGAGGAAUUUUGCGCAAUGGGGGAAACCCUGACG